UGUAUAAUAUAUUGUCAAUAUGUAAAAUAAACUUCAGAAUGACCAAUAAUUGUACUGUAAAAACGUAAAAAUAGUUUAUGUUCAAGAGAGUCUCAAGCAAGAUGCUUCCUCCACUGAGCUGGGACACACUGUCGCCACUUCGGGUGAGUCAAGUGGCUGUUUGGCGUGCUAAAAACUAGUUCCCUGUACUUCAAUUAUGUUAAAUAAUUGUUAAAAUGACUAAAAAUUUUAAUAUCAGACUUGGAAAAUUAUUGAAUAGUACAACCUUCUUGAUAUUUACUCAAAUGGAAACGAGUUUAAGCCCUAGAACCGAUUACUGUAUUGGCGGACUAAUAGUACAGUUGAUGAGCAGCCGAAAGCAGGCGAAAACAUGUUGGGAAAAAUUUGUAAGGAAUUCAUUAACCGAAAUGUUUUCGUUAACCGAAGUGAAGAUUCUUAUGGAAGGUAAUUCGUUAACCAAAAUAUCGUUAACCGAGGCGUUCGUAAACCGAGGAACCACUGUACUUGGAGUGAUAAGUAGUCAUCAUGCUUAACAAUUGAUGAGUGAACUGGUAAAUCAUACAUACGAGUAUAUAUAUAAUUCCAGUAUGAUUAUAGGCGUUAUAACUACAUGUGAUCAAAUUAUAACUUACAAGAGGUUAUAUUAGGAGGUUCAAAGACAUUACCGGACUGCUAUAUUAGAAGAAGUCAUAUUAGGUGGUUCAAAAAUGCUGCUAUAUUAAAAGAGGUCUUAUUAGGGGACUGAAGUUGCCAUGACGCUGUUUUUAGAACCUUUACUUGUACUUGUGUGAAGCUGCUUAUGGGGUCUGACAGCAAGUGAAAACACCAACUUUGGAUCUAAGAACUUAACAAAAUUUUCAGGAGUGAUGGUGAAAUAUAUGUCUCCAAAACACCUAAAUUUUUGUUUAGAUGUUGGAGUUAAAAAUUGGCACAGUAUUUGUUUUAUUUUUUAAAGGGGGACUUAUAAACAUCUCCUCACACAUACACAAACAGGUUCCCAAAAAACAAAAUCAUGUCAACUUUAAAACCCUAAGCAUUUUUUACCUUAUUGAUAAUGAUGGUGUCAUUCUUGAACGACUUUAGCUUAAACCAUCAUCCUAAAAGGGUUAUAACUUACAGGUAUACAUUAAACCAUCAUCCUAAAAGGGUUAUAGCUCGAACCAUUGCCCUAUAAGAGUUAUAACUUAAACCAUCGCCCUCUGAGAGUUAAUAAUCAAACCAUCAUCCUCAAAGGGUUAUAUAUUAUACAGUACUCGGGAUCUGAGGUAAAUUUGAAGAUGUACGGCGUGAGUACUGACAGUCUCUCGUGUGUGUAAGUUGAGCCAGGAAGUUGGCCAUAUAGACGCCUAACAUUCUCAGAUGUAAUAUUAUGCUAACUUUUGAUAAUUAACCUUGACAUUUUUGGAGUCCAGAUCUCAUUUAAUUUCUGAUAGUGACGUGCCAAACAUAAGUAUGACAAAUCUUUAACAUAGAUAUUUUUUUUAAUUGAGAUUAACAUUUAUACUGAAAUACUCACCUUUUGAGAUUAACAUAAUACUUCGUGAUACUUAUACUUUGAGAUUAAGACAUGUUUACGAUACUCACGUAAUCUUUAAUUAAUGUCUCGUUUUGAUAUUACAUAAUUCGCUGUGAUUGUUUAUAUUUAACUAUAGUAGACAGUUAAAGAAUCUCAUACUUUAUGUCUGCAUAUUAUGAAUACUCUCGUCUUGCUGCAUAAUAUAUUAAUCAGUUCAUUUUGUUUUUGUUCGUCUCAUGUUCUCGCGUGUUCUGGCACUGGGCAACAUUGGCCUUUGUCAUGUCGGUCCAAACACUGAAUCUCUGAGAAAAAAAAAAGAUAUUGAAUGUUGUCCCUUUUUUUUAUAAUAACAAAAAAGGUUUGUUUAUAUAAUGUUUUGUAAUGGGUGUAUGAAAGUUACGUUCCUGCCAAAGAUUGAGGAUUUAACGCUAAUUGUGAACAUUAAUAUGAAUCACAGCGCCAGAUACACACUAUGUUGAGUAUUGCCUAAAUGAUUGAAUCUCUUCCCUCCCUUGGUUAACAUCAGGUCCUUAGCCAGAUGGGGUCUAAAGAGCCUGAUGGAUUAACCAGCUCUUAUGAAACAAUUUGCAUAUGUGAAGUGGUAUAGUUAGUUGUUGAACAUAGACUGUAUGUACUUUGUAGCUAGACUGAGUGAGGUUAUCAGUUAUCUUCAGUACAAUUCAAUCUGGUUCAUCCAUUAGGAACACAAUUUAACACAAACAACUUUUGAUAUAUAUGUCUUGCCUCAUUUUUGUCACACUCACCUUAAAUUAACCUGGCUAUGGCUCUGAAUGUAGGGAAAUAAUGUCCUGAAUCAUGUUUAUGUUCAGGAGUGGAGAAAUGUCUGUUAGGAGGAGCCCUGUGUAGUGUAUGACGGAGGGCUAAAUGAUGUUACUUAACUAGAAGAGAGAGGCCUGUUGCUUCUUCCUCAUUAUAUGUUAAAAAGAAAUGUCUCCAAAUGCUUUUCAUUCAGGGAUUUAGAAGUCUUAUCCCAUGUUAUUUUAUGAUCUUGUAUUAAAAAAGUUAUAAAUAUUGGGCUGACUCCAUGAUCAGUCUGUUAGAUCUUAUUAUGGCAGGAUUGAGGGGGUAGGGAUGUGUACACUUAAGCCCCCUACCACCACCCUACCCCCUCCUCCAUCUGUCCCCACUAGAUUUACCUUUGAUAUUAUACCUGAAACACACAAACCCUUAAUCACUACAUGAGUGAUGACUUUUUACAGAAUCUCACUUUACUACAUUUCUAUAUAACAGUAGUCAAUUUAUUACUAAUAUUAGACGUCAUCUGUGUUUUAUACCCGUGUGUGUGUGUGUGUGUGUGUGUGUGUGAGAGAAGACUAUAUAUGGAAGACUUUGUGUGUACAGUAUUGCAUCUGUAUCAUACUAGGAAAUGACACUACAUGUUUUAACUUGGCUAAAAUGUCCUUUUUUAAAUACGAGAGCAUAAUAACAUGUCUAGCGUACCAGGGUGAUGGAAGUCAACUGUAGUGGUGUGGGAGUAUGUGAGUUUAAAUGAGAUAUCUAUAAAUCAAAUUACUGUACUAUCAUUAAGAAUGUUAUUGAGCUGUAAUAUAUCUCGCUAACAUCGUACUGUACGAUCAUGUUGUAGAUGUUGACAUGGAUGGAUAUAUUUGGACCUCUGUUUACACCAUAUAGCAAGAGUGAUGGUAGCCCCUUCCUUUCUGGUUCUGAGGCCAGUAUGUUAUGUUAUUCAGCUACUGUAAUGACCAUGCUAUUGAUUUAUCAUUAUUAUUAUUAUUAUUAUUAUUAUUAUUAUUAUUAUUAUUAUUAUUAUUAUUAUUAUUAUUAUUAUUAUUUGUGAUUAUUAUUAUUGUUGUGAUUAUUAUUAGACAUAAAUUAAGACAGGAUUAAUUAAAGAUUUCAUUGUUGUACCAGAUACUGUAUUACAUUCUAUACUGUAUUAUGACUAAAAUACAGUAGACUUGAUUACCUGCAGAAGUUGACAGUAAACCUCUGGCAGAUAUGUUAAGAUAAUUUUGUUGAUGAUUAAUGGCCUGUUGUGCAUAGUUAACAAGACAGAAAACUAAAAUACAGUUAUUGUUUGUUAAAUAUGUGAUGAAUAUAAUAGUAAUACUAGAAAUGUGUUCAUUAUGUACAUUAAACACAACUGAUGUCAAGGUAAUACUAGAGAUGUGUUCAUUAUGUACAUUAAACACAAACUGACGUCAAGGUAAUACUAGAGAUGUGUUCAUUAUGUGGUAAUGCCAUAACCAAUGUGUUUGUUGUAAUUUCUCAUCUUCACAAACAUCUACACCUGACAUCUUGGCUCACAUAUAGACAGGUGCGUACAUUGUAAUUACUGGCUAACAUCGCAUUUCCUCUCACCUAAACACAUCACAACAUAAAUAUCAGAGCACUUUUACCCUUAACACAUCAUAACACAACACAGUAUUUUCACACUUAAACACAUCACAACACAAAUAACACAACAUUUUCACACAUAAACACAUCACAACACAAAUAACACAACAUUUUCACACAUCACAACACAAAUAACACAACAUUUUCACACAUAAACACAUCACAACACAAAUAACACAACAUUUUCACACAUAAACACAUCACAACACAAAUAACACACCUUCAGUCUUACCAACAAGCACAAGACAGAUCUUAUUAAGGUUAAAACAUCACAAAGGUUGAAUAAAAAUUAAUCAUUUAACAUUACAUAUAAAAUCUAUUCUGAACUGUUACUAUUUGAUGAUAAUUAAUUGAAAGGGCAAAAUUAUGUUGGGAGACGACUUUUUGUAUUUAUUUAUGAAUUUAGGUAAUUGAUAAUCUUGUUUUCUGUUGUUUAUAAGAGUAAAGAAGAAAAAUAUUGUGGAAGUGAUUUAUUACAAGGGAUAGGUGCGUGUCCAAAUACAGUGCAUAUCCUCAUCAAGUGCAUUUCUAGGUACAUGAUAGAAUAGGUGCGUGUCCGAUUUAGUACGUAUUACAAUAUUGAAGAGUGGAUUUUUUUUUAUUUGGUGCGUGUCCUGAUAUGCGUGUCUUAGUAUUGUGCGUAUCUCUGUAUGGUAGACUAUGUAAAUUGUGGUAGGAUAGAUUUUGAGUAUGUCCUGGUAUAUCUAGACAUGGAAUGUAUCCUAGUAGAGUUAGACAUGGUACGUGUCCUAGUAUAGUUAGACAUGGUAUGUGUCCUAGUAUAGUUAGACAUGGUACGUGUCCUAGUAGAGUUAGACAUGGUACGUGUCCUAGUAUAGUUAGACAAGGUAUGUGUCCUAGUAUAGUUAGACAUGGUACGUGUCCUAGUAUAGUUAGACAUGGUACGUGUCCUAGUAUAGUUAGACAUGGUACAUGUCCUAGUAUAGUUAGACAAGGUAUGUGUCCUAGUAUAGUUAGACAUGGUACGUGUCCUAGUAUAGCUAAACAUGGUACACGUCCUGAUAUAACUAGACAUGGUAUGUUUCCUAAUAUAGGUAGCCAUAGUGUGUGUCCUGGUAUAGUUAGACAGUGUGUCCUGGUAUUGAUAGGAAUGUAUCCUGGUAUAAGUAGUCAUAAUACGUGUCCUGGUAUAGGUAGGUACAUAUCCUGGUAUAGUUAGACAUGGUACUUGUCCUGGUAUAGGUAGGUAUGUAUCCUGGUAUAGUUAGACAUGGUACUUGUCCUGGUAUAGUUAGACAUGGUAUUUGUCCUGGUAUAGUUAGACAUGGUACUUGUCCUGGUAUAGGCAGGUGCAUAUCCUGGUAUAGUUAGACAUGGUACUUGUCCUGGUAUAUGACUGUCACUCGCCCUGGUACAGCUAGAUGGUGUUCAGGUGGACACAAGUGGUGCUACCGUUAAUAACUCUCUCUACUAACGUGCUCUCUCUCUCUCUCUCUCUCUCUCUCUCAGUGUGGGAGCUGGUCGUUUUGCUCGUCUCAUCCUAAAGUUGUCGUCCUUGAGGGGGUCGUGAAGAAGGAACUAAGUCAUUCCUGUUGACCUCUCUCUUGAUGUCAUGGGUGGGUUGUGGGUCGUCUGGGAGGGACUGAGUCGUUCUUGUUCCCCCCCCCCCCUCUUGUCGUGAAGUAAGGACCGAGUCGUUGUAGUCGUCCUUCUACCAUUCUCACAUUGUCGUCACUCAAUGGUGUUAGAAACAGAUAGUGUGUGUUUCUCUCUCUCUUGUAAAUAGUUCUAACUUGUUGUGGUGAGGCUGUUGGUCCCUGUGCAUGUAUAUAUGUGAAUAUUUGUACAAUGUUUUAUGUAAUUUAUUUAUGUUAACAAUAAAAGUCUGACAGUCA